UUAAGUUCAGCGGGUAGUCCUACCUGAUCCGAGGUCAACAUAUGGCGGUCCCGCCCUCGCCCGCUUGCGCGUGGCCCGGGGGUUCCUAUGUCGGGGGUUUUACGGCAAGCCUAGCUGCUUCUCCCAGGGCAUCUAACGGUGAAGUUACUGUACCCGGGGUCGGCAGCCAGACCGCGCACUUCUGCUUGGGGGCCUAGGGG
rnacentral:misc_RNA from 1 species